rnacentral:misc_RNA from 1 species
UAUCCGUCGGUGAACCUGCGGAAGGAUCAUUAAUGAAAUGCACCGUCGAGGGGUUUUGCUGGCGCUCCGGGGCAAUGUGCACGCCCCCUCUGGCGUUCAGACCCCUUCACACCUGUGCACGAACCCGUCGGUCGGGAGUGGUGCCUUGCGCGCCCUCCGGUCUGGCCCUUCACAACAGCUUAUUACCGUAUGUCAAAUACAUCACUGCGCACGCGCAACCGAAAUACAACUUUCAACAACGGAUCUCUUGGUUCUC